rnacentral:lncRNA from 1 species
UGGGUUUUCUGGUUUUGUGCCGAUUGGAAGGGUCGCUAGGGUUGAGGUUCGUGAUAGACAGGGAAGAGUGCUUUUCUCACGAUGCAAAGUGUUGAUUUGUAUUAGGAUUCCUAUAAUUGUGUGAUUCUUACCAUAUUUAGUUUCCUAGUUAGGAUGUAAUUAUUUUCCCCUUAUUCUUUCCCAUAUUUGUAUAGGGUUGUAUAUAUACCUUUGUUUGAGAUGAAAUACACAUAUCAUUGAAAAACAUUCUUUCUUCUUGGCACCAGAGCCGGGUUAGAAAAGGAAAACACCGAACCCUAAUUGUAUUUUUUCCACUGCCGUGUCCCUGAUCAAUUGCAGCGAGCAACUUAGAGUUGUUGCUGCCCGUUUCCUGAUCGAUUGCAGCGAGCAACUGAGAAGUUGUUGUUGCCCCGUCAAUUCGUUCGUAUUGUUCCAAAGCCCCAUCAAAACUGUAGUUUUUUUUCUGCCCAGUUUGUAUUAGUCAGUUCCAAGGUCCCAUGGCUGAAGAAAAGGGGGUUGGUUCUCAGAUUGUUCCAGCGGUUGCUCCAAUUAUGGUGCAGUCAAAGAAUUCAAGCUUUAAUAUUGGUAUGGUUUUGGAUGAAAAGAACUAUGAUUUAUGGGCUCCUCUUAUUCAAAUCCAUAUUGCUGGAAGGAAGAAGAUGGGAUAUCUUCGUGGGUCUAUCAAGACACCUAACGAAGAUGAUCCUAAAUAUGAUGAUUGGUUUUUUGAAGAUAAAAAAAAUUAAGAGUUGGCUUUUGCCUUCAAUGAAGCCUGAGAUUAUGAAACGGUACAUUCGGUUGUCUACAUCGAAGGAAAUUUGGGAAUCCCUUAAGGCAUCUUACUUUGAUGAGAACUCAGCCUAGCCAAACAAGCCGGGAUCGUCCCCAAGGUAAGUGCCCACACUGUGGCAUGACAGGACACUCUAAGAGUUGUUGUUUUGAGCUGAUUGGAUAUCCUGAGAAUUGGGAUAUGACUCGUGAUCCUCGUUGCAACAAAUCUUGAGCCUCUGUUGUAGAAACCAAGAAUGAUUCGGACCAGAUAGCGGACAAGGCAUCUGCCAUGAUUGCUACGGCAGGUAGUAUGGUAAGGCACUAAGUACUUCUACUUCUGUUAUGAAUAAUACAUGAAUAAUUGAUUCCAGAGCUAUUGAACAUAUGACUUGUGAUUCUAAACAGGUUCCAUCACUAAAAACAUCCACACAGACUGAGGUCAAUGUUGCUAAUGGUAAUGUCAUCCCUGUUACUGGGGAAUGCACUGUUUCCUUUUUCGAUACCAUAAAACUUGACACUGUUCUUGUGGUUCCCUCUCUAAAUUAUAAUUUGUUGUUCGUUGCUUAAAUAACUCUUGCCUUACAUUGUUUGGUUAUUUUUUGGCCCUAUUUUUGUGUUUUUAAGGACAUCCGGACGCAGAAGAAGAUUGGUUAUGGUAUUAAAAGAGGGAAACUUUAUUACUUGGAGUCGACCACCAGUAGUUCUAGCUUGCUAACUCAAGCCCUUUCCGUUGAUGAUUCUCAAGGGGAUACUAAUAAAGUGUUAGACAUCUGGAUGUGGCAUCGGCGCCUUGGGCAUGAUUCCUUUGGUUAUUUGCAUCAGUUAUUUCCUAGUUUGUUUGUCAAGAAUGAUGUUUCUCAGUUUAAGUGUGAUGUUUGUGAAGUGGCUAAGAGGCAUCGAACCUCCUUUCCUCCCAGUUUAAAUAAAAGUACCGUUCCUUUUAUGAUUGUGGAUUCUGAUGUAUAGGGACCGUCGAAAAUAGCUACUCUUGGUGGUGCUCACUGGUUUGUUACUUUUAUUGACGAUUGUACCAGAAUGACUUGGGUUAUUUUGUUAAAGUUGAAAAGCGAAGUUAGUUCGGCCUUUCAACGGUUCCAUAAAAUGGUUUCUGUGCAAUACAACAGGAAUAUCCAGGUUCUUAGAAGUGACAAUGGGGGCGAAUAUGUUAAUAUGGAACUUCGUUCCUUCCUAGAAUUGCAUGGUAUUGUUGAUCAGACCACGUGGCUGUAUACUUUUCAACAGAAUGGGGUUGCAGAACGGAAAAAUAGACACCUGUUAGAAAUGGUUCGUGCUUCACUCAUUGCGGCACAUCUGCCUCUACAUUAUUGGGGAGAUGCACUUAUGUCCGCAGCCUACCUUAUUAAUUGUCUUCCUUCCCGUACUAUCAACUUCCAUACGCCAUUUCAGGCUCUCAGAUCUCAGACUAGCAGCCCACCAACUCCCAAUCUCCCUCCACGGGUCUUAGGGUGUGUUGAUUUCGUUUAUCUCCAUCCCCCUCAACGGAAUAAUAAACUUGAGCCUCGAGCCAUUCAUUGUGUUUUUUUGGGUUAUGUUACUACCCAGAAAGGAUAUCGUUGUUUGAUCCUUCGAGUAAAAAAAUGUUUAUUACUCAUGAUGUGAUUUUCCAUGAGAAUGAAAUGUUUUUUGGAUCCUCUGCGUCCUCACUUCAGGGGAAUACCGAAAUAGUGAAGUUCUGACAUGAGAUAAUAGUGAAGUUUUGAGAUUUGAUUACUCUCACAUGGGUAGAAAUGAUCUACAUGAUGAGCAACCAUUGGAAUCAUCACGCCUGGAGUACACGGCAUAUGGAGAAGGGCAGCAGCCCAUGUGUUGCAGUGAUCAGCCCACGACAUCUGAAGAAGGGCAGCAGCUUGUGUGCUUUGGUCAUCAGCCCACUGAUGAGCAGCAAACAAAUCAGAAGGAGGAGUAGCCCACGAGUCCUACUAUUUGUAGUGGAACCGAGCAACAAUUGCAGCAUUUGUCACAAGAUUUUUCUCUCGAAGUUAUAUCAGGUCCGACUAUGAACUCAUAUUCUAUUAAUUCUCAUAACCAAUCGUUUCCUACACCGGAUGCACCUACACUCCGUAACCUUCCCGAGCAUAUUAAUCAAGGUAUUCCUAAACCCACUUAUGAGGUAGAUCUUAAGUGUAAACACAAGUAUUCCGUGAGUGAGCCAAACUCUGAUUCAAGAGUGAGAUACCUAUUAAACAAUUAUGUGUCUACCUGUCACCUGUCAGAAUCAAAUAAGUCAUUUGUAUCAAUUAUCUACUGUAUCUAUUCCUAACAGUGUGCAGGAGGCUUUAGCAGAUUCCCGUUAGAAAGAUGCAAUGAACGAGGAAUUGAGAUCGUUGAAGAAGAAUGCUACCUGGGAAAUAACUGACUUGCCAGCCGAAAAGAAACCUGUGGGAUGCAAAUGGGUUUAUACAGUGAAAUACAAAGCAGAUGGAACGGUAGAUCACUUUAAAGCACGAUUGGUAGCAAAGGGGUAUAUGCAGAAAUAUGGCAUUAACUACACUGAUACGUUCACACCAGUGGCAAAGAUCAAUAUAGUUCAUGUUCUACUGCCCUUAGCAGCAAACCUGGAUUGGCCUUUGCAACAGUUCGAUGUAAAAAAUGCAUUCCUCCAUGGAGAUCUAACUGAGGAGAUUUACAUGGACCUUCCACCAAGGUGCAAUCAUUCGGACAUACGAAAAUAAAAGGUAUGUAGGCUCAAGAAAUCAUUGUAUGGGUUAAAGCAGUCUCCUAGAGCCUGGUUUGGUAGAUUUACCAAGUCCAUGAGAGCAUUCGGGUAUAGGCAAAGUAAUUGAAAUCACACGUUAUUCCUGAAACGCCAGAAUGGAAAGGUUACAGCCCUCAUCGUAUAUGUGGAUGAUAUGGUGGUUACUGGUAAUGAUCAUGUUGAGCAAGCAGCCUUGAAAAAUUAUUUGUCCACAGAAUUUGAAAUGAAAGAUCUUGGUUCUUUGAAAUAUUUCCUUGGGAUUAAAGUGUCAAAAAGCAAGUCUGGGAUAUUUCUAUCACAAAGGAAGUAUGUUCUUGACCUAUUGGAAGAAACUGGUAUGACAGUGUGCAAGCCUGUGUCUACUCUGUUGGAAGAAAUGAAGUUGGGUAUCGAUCAGAACGAAGUACCGGUUGAUAAGGGGAGGUAUCAAAAGUUAGUAGGAAGAUUAAUGUACUUGGCUCACACUAGGCCGGAUCUUGCUCAUGCCUUAAGUGUGAUUAGUCAAUAUAUGCAUAAUAUUCCAGGAGAACAACACAUGAGUGCAGUUAUGAGGAUAUUGAGUUACUUGAAAAGAAGCCCUGGUAAAGGAAUUUUAUUUCAAAAAAAUGGGCAUUUCAAAAUUGAGUGUUAUACAGAUGUUGAUUAGGCAGGAUCAACGGAUGAUAGGCGUUCGACAUUUGGGUAUUUCACCUUCGUUGGGGGAAAUCUAGUAACAUGGAGAAGCAAGAAGCAGAAUGUUGUAUCAAGGUCAAGCGCAAAAGCUAAAUUUAGAGGCAUGGCACUCAAUAUUUGUGAACUCUUGUGGCUUAAGCUUCUGUUAAAAGAUGUGGGGGUCAAACAUGAUUAGCCGAUGAAGUUAUUUUGUGACAAUAAAGCUGCUCAUGAUAUUGCUCAUAAUCCUGUACAACAUGAUAGGACCAAGCAUGUAAAGGUUGACCGAUUCUUUAUUAAAGAGAACCUAGAUAGUAAAGUAAUUGAGGUUCCUCCCAUAGGAACGGAUGACCAAGUAGCAGAUAUUCUCACGAAGGCGGUCUCUAGUGACAAGUUCUCCAGGUUUCUGGACAAGUUGGGCAUGCGCAACAUCUAUGCACCAACUUGAGGGGGAGUGUUGACUUGUAUUAGGAUUCUUAUAAUUGUGGGAUUCCUGCUAUAUUUGGUUUCCUAGUUAGGAUGUAAGUAUUUUCCCCUUAUUCUUUCCCAUAUUUGUAUAGGGUUGUAUAUAUACCUUUGUUUGAGAUGAAAUACACAU